CGAGAAAGGAAGGAAUUGAACCCCCGUGUGCUAGUUUCAAGCCAGCCGCAUAACCACUCUGCCACUUUCUUAU
rnacentral:tRNA from 1 species